rnacentral:rRNA from 1 species
UAGGGAAUCUUCGGCAAUGGACGAAAGUCUGACCGAGCAACGCCGCGUGAGUGAAGAAGGUUUUCGGAUCGUAAAACUCUGUUGUUAGAGAAGAACAAGGACGUUAGUAACUGAACGUCCCCUGACGGUAUCUAACCAGAAAGCCACGGCUAACUACGUGCCAGCAGCCGCGGUAAUACGUAGGUGGCAAGCGUUGUCCGGAUUUAUUGGGCGUAAAGCGAGCGCAGGCGGUUUCUUAAGUCUGAUGUGAAAGCCCCCGGCUCAACCGGGGGGGGUCAUUGGAAACUGGGAGACUUGAGUGCAGAAGAGGAGAGUGGAAGUCCAUGUGUAGCGGUGAAAUGCGUAGGUAUAUGGGGGAACACCAGUGGCGAACGCGGCUCUCUGGUCUGUAACUGACGCUGAGGCUCGAAAGCGUGGGGAGCAAACAGG